UAAAUUAUCUGCAUCAGGCCCUGUUUGCUUUAUUUUGUAAGUUUAUUUUCAUUUUUAUUUAAUAAUUUUUAUUGGUGCAUUAUAAUAAGACAUAAUAGUGGGAUUCAUUGUGACAUAUUUGUACAUGCAUGAAAUGUGAUUUAGUCAAUUUCCAUUUGUUUUAUUUUCUCUGGAAGAGAGAGGAGUGUGCAGAGAGAAUGUACUGUGUGUGUGUGUUACAGAUAUAUUAUUUUUUGCAAUCAUCGGAGUGUAAUAUAAUGCCUAAGUAUUUCAGUGUGUGUCUUAUGACAACAAGAAUACCAUCGUACUAUAGUCAACAAAACUAAGAGAUUCCAUGUCAGUGUGAUUUGAUAGAAUCUUCCUAAUCCACAUAACCCACAGGCAUGGUCACAUUAACUGUCCCCACAGCGUCCUUUUUAACUAUGGCAUUGGGCCUCUAUUCCUGUGCUUCUCUGGUAUUUGCCUAGCUGCCCUUGUGAAAUGUCUGGUCACGUCUUUCCCCAGUUUUUCUGGGGCUCUCUUUUAUUUUUGAAUGGACAGUUCUUUGCCCAUUCUGCCCUUCAUCAGCAUGUGAUCUCUCUGGCCUGUGGCCUGUUUUUGACCGUGGCUUGAUGAGACUCAGAGCUUUGACAUUUUGAGGACUCUAAUUUGGGUGAGUCCCAUCAUGGACUGGAGACCCUCCGG
rnacentral:lncRNA from 1 species